ensembl:lncRNA
AGGAGGCAUGCCAGCCCCCUGGUCUGGCACAGCAUGUCCAACCUGCCCUGAGGGCUGGGUCAGGGCCACAGCAAUGGCUAGAGCUCUACGGACUGCAGAGUAAAUGUUUCAAAAUACCAACAUUUAAUUUGUCAUCAUUAAUUUCAAAACUGUAUUCUAAAAAGGUGAAAGUAGGAGAGUUAUAACUCCUGAAGUCAGUAGGCCACCAAACUAAGUUUGCUUUAAAAUCUUCUGUCAGGGCUUUCUAAAUCAGCCUGUGAAACAACUGAUGAGGUGGUAUUGCACCGGAUCACAUUCCCUUCAUAUGGCAGUAAAUUUUAGGAACUCUUGGCUGAUCAAAAACUUGAGGCUGCAAUAAUGAGGGCUUCGUUAGAAAGUCACAGGUAGAUUUUUAGCACCGCCUACGCUGUUCCAGUCUGACGUUCACUGGGAAAUUAUAGGCUGUUGUGUUUACAUCUGUAUAUGCUUUGCAAUUUUUGAUAGCUUUCUGAGCUAUCUAAAUUUAUUUAUUCAUUUAUUCAGUUCAGGAGAGCAAAUAGCUCACAUUGGCUUGUCCUGUCAAAUUCAAGCUGACGCAGUCACUCCAUAAGGAAUGUCUGUCUUUCCAGUGUAUGUAUGACUAAAUGUUUUAGGCACCACGACCAAAAAAUGUAAAAUAAUUCUCUUAAAAGACAACACAGUUGGAAGGAGUUCCAGCUCUUUGCUGGCAAAGAUUACUGGAGAUUAUGUACAGACAUGCACAGCGAGCAGUGCUGCUGUUCUAACAAAAGGAUAAGGAAGAGCCUUUAAAUGGUCUGAAAUACUUGGAUAACCUAAAAAGCUGUAAAAAAAAAAAAAAAAAAAAAAAAAAAACAUGUUCGGUGAAACAAUGGAUUGAAAAUAUCAAAGUGAAACAUGUCACUGGUCCUAUGCAGAGGCCAAGACUUGGCACGAGAAACGGAAAGCAGCUUUCAGGGUGGCAUUCAGCUUUUCUCAUGCAGAUUUUUUUUUUCCCUCAUCUGGCAUGGAAACUGCAGCCCUUCUCUACUAUCCACGUACAUCCUGCACUUCCUUGCCAGGGAUCAGGCAGACCUCCCUGUGCCUUUUCACGUCUCGCCUGCUCAGAAGCUUGCACGAGCUUUCUGUGCUGCUCUGAAUUUCUGCUACUGUAACUUCAUUAGGCAUAAGUGUAUAUAUAUACACACACACACCAAUAGAGGGAGAUACAUAGCUCUGAGUGCAUGUAUUGAAACAGCCUAAUACGUGUGUAUGCUCAAGGCUGAGAUCCACAAAAGCAACUAAAUAUGGCCGAUUUCAAUAACGGCAUAGUGCCUAACUGCUGUGCCAGGAUCUCAACCAUCUAUAAAUGUCUCUGAUCUUGUACAGCACCCAAAAAGUUCUGAAAAUCACAAAUGAGAAACAAUGGGUUUUCAUGGUGGCUUCAGAGAAUUGUUAUGAAGACAGGUGAUGAAUUCUUCUGCUAUCAACAGCACACAUGCUUUGUGCUCUGCAGCAUGUCAUCAAAUUCUUCAGUUAAUUACUCACUAAUUAUAACACUGUUGAAUGGCUACACUGUGGCAACCAUGUAAUUAUGGAGCAUAAAGUACUGAGCAGUUGCAAGGCUGAGCAUAUUGACUGAUUACAAUAAAUCCCCUGCUUAUUGUUGAUAUUUUUCA